rnacentral:lncRNA from 1 species
AUCAGAGGACCAUCAGACUGAGGCGCGUGCACGGGGCGACACCAUGUUUUUAUUUUCUCUCUCUUUGUACUAAAACACGAUUUCCCGGUCGGAAUAUUAUCGAUUUUUUACGAGAAAAAUGGCAUAAAAAUUGAUUUUAAACAGCGGUUGACAUGCUUCGAAGUACGGUAAUGGAAUAUUUAGAUUUUUUUUUGUCACGAAUUGCGCCAUGCUCGUGACCCUUAUUUACACUUCGGAUAGUGUCUUGAACGCACGAACAAAACGCAGCUGUUUGGUUAUAACAAUGGAUUAUUUUGGACCAAACCAACAUUUGUUAUUGAAGUAGCAGUCCUGGGAGUGCAUUCUGACGAAGAAAAUCAAAGGCUAAAGAAGUGUAACGAUCGUCUGACAGAGGGGACCAAGAUGCAGCGUGGGGGAAGGAUGGCUAGCCACACAGGAGGGUGAUUUUUACUAAGGAGGAGAAGGAGGCCAUGCUGACCGAGAUGUAUGCUGGCCAUUUCGGAAUGAAGCACAUGAUUGCCAAAAUCAACCUAUACUUCUUCUGAUGGGGAAUUGUCAAGGAGGUGGACAGCUGGGUCAGUACCCUGUCUAGCCUGCCAGAAGAUUGAGAGGGUGAAGACUGUGCCGCUGGAGAUGAAGCCCAUCAGUUGUUUCACCAUGGCACAUGAUAGGUUUGGUGAAUGGAUCAACCAGACACUGAAAACUGCUGUGGGAAAAUCCCUUGAUUGGUACCAGGAAGGGUGGGAGAACAACCUGAAGAUCCCUGAAACUCCACCUGAUGUGGUGGAAGUUGUCAAACCAGAUCAGAACACCUUCAGGCACGGACUAAGAAGGAUGUGGAGGUUUUUGACCAGUUGAGCAAAGAAAUUGAGACUGAAGAUGGACAAGGCGCAGGAGAAACAGAAGGAGAGUUACCGGAGCAGAAUCAAGAAGGGGACCAAGUGCUACGACAUCCGGGCGAGUUACUUGGUUUGGAAGAAGGAUGAAAGGAAGGGUUACCUCAGUGGAAGGGAACAAUCUUCUACAGUUGGAGCAGUUGGAUGGUCGACCACUGGAAGCACUGACGCUGUACACUUCAGUGAAGCCCAAUAGACAAAGCAUGUUAACCUGUUAUGGCUAGGGGGCAGUAUUUUCACGGCAGUAUUGACACUUCCUACGUCUUCCAUGGGCGCUCAGAGCCCGGGAAAAACCUGAAUGUCGUCAUCCCAGCCCCAGGCUGAAACACAUUAUCGCCUUUCUCAAGUGGCCGAUCAAGGGACUGUGGGCUUAGGCGCGUGCCCUGGCCGCCCCCGUCUUUGUGAUUUUUCCUCUGUUUGCCGAAAAGGAGAUUCCCGGUUGGAAUAUUAUCGCUUUUUUACGAGAUAAAUUGCAUAAAAAUUGAUUUUAAACAGCGGUUGACAUGCUUCGAGGUACGGUAUUGGAAUAUUUAGAAUUUUUUUGUCACGAAUUGCGCCAUGCGCACGACCCUGAUGUACCAUUUCGGAUAGUGUCUGGGACGCACGAACAAAACGCCGCUAUUCGGAUAUAACGAUGGAUUAUUUUGGACCAAACCAACAUUUGUUAUUGAAGUAGCAGUCCUGGGAGUGCAUUCUGACGAAGACAACAAAAGGACCAUCGACUGACUGUCUGAGCCCCCGAGGAGGUAUCCCGUCCACCAGAACCAGUGAGUUCGGAUCAGUCUGAUUCUCUGUGCUCUGUGUCAGAGGGGGGCCAGCUUGAGGACCUAGGGGUUCUGCCCAACACCCAGACGUGGAUCCACCUGAUGUCCUCCAUUACCAACCACCCUCCAACUUUUCAUUACAUAAUCUACAGCUACUGUUGUUGUCAUUAUCUGCUCUUUAUCAUACUGGGAACACAAUAUGUGAGAUACACAGGUUAACUAAAAACACUAGCACUGCAAAUAAUCAGAACAAAGAGAGCAGCAGUGCCUGGAUAUUGCAGUCUCCCUCUUCAAGUCCCCCUUCUGAGACUGGCUGCCUGUUGAGAACCUCCAACCCACACAGCAACCACCUCCCCUAUAUUCCACACAGCAGAGUUCUGUAUUUUAGUCUAUGAUUGCCAUGUGAGCGCACAAGCAAUUUGUGAAAAAACAUUC